rnacentral:rRNA from 1 species
ACAUAUUGAACCGCAUGGUUCAAUAGUGAAAGGCGGCUUUGCUGUCACUUAUAGAUGGAUCCGCGCCGUAUUAGCUAGUUGGUAAGGUAACGGCUUACCAAGGCAACGAUACGUAGCCGACCUGAGAGGGUGAUCGGCCACACUGGAACUGAGACACGGUCCAGACUCCUACGGGAGGCAGCAGUAGGGAAUCUUCCGCAAUGGGCGAAAGCCUGACGGAGCAACGCCGCGUGAGUGAUGAAGGUCUUCGGAUCGUAAAACUCUGUUAUCAGGGAAGAACAAAUGUGUAAGUAACUGUGCACAUCUUGACGGUACCUGAUCAGAAAGCCACGGCUAACUACGUGCCAGCAGCCGCGGUAAUACGUAGGUGGCAAGCGUUAUCCGGAAUUAUUGGGCGUAAAGCGCGCGUAGGCGGUUUUUCUGAUGUGAAAGCCCACGGCUCAACCGUGGAGGGUCAUUGGAAACUGGAAAACUUGAGUGCAGAAGAGGAAAGUGCAUGUGUAGCGGUGAAAUGCGCAGAGAUAUGGAGGAACACCAGUGGCGAAGGCGACUUUCUGGUCUGUAACUGACGCUGAUGUGCGAAAGCGUGGGGAUCAAACAGGAUUAGAUACCCUGGUAGUCCACGCCGUAAACGAUGAGUGCUAAGUGUUAGGGGGUUUCCGCCCCUUAGUGCUGCAGCUAACGCACACUCCGCCUGGGGAGUACGACCGCAAGGUUGAAACUCAAGGAAUUGACGGGGACCCGCACAAGCGGUGGAGCAUGUGGUUUAAUGCAACGCGAAGAACCUUACCAAAUCUUGACAUCCUUUGACCGCUCUAGAGAUAGAGUCUUCCCCUUCGGGGACAAAGUGACAGGUGUGCAUGGUUGUCGUCAGCUCGUGUCGUGAGAUGUUGGUCCUGCAACGAGCGCACCCUAGGCUUAGUGCAUCAUGGCACUCUAAGUGACUGCGUGACAACGGAAGAGGU